rnacentral:lncRNA from 1 species
CUGCAGGCUCUCUGAAGGUGAGGACGCCCCCACAGCCCAGUCUCUGCCAGCUCAACACAGGUCCCCCUCCAGAGCGUCGGCGGUUUUCAAAGUAGAGAGUGAGCAGCUCGUCGGGCACGGCAGGGGGCAGUCCACGGACCUCCACUGCCACCCCUGCCUCUGCCUCCGCCAUUGCAACCCUGGGACGGGGCAUCAGGUCUUGCCUGCCCAUUCCUGCAGCUUUCUGUCCUGCCUGCACCUCCCCAUCUCACACCAUCAUUGGCAUCGUCACAAGUAACCUCAGAAGGUGACAAGGUUAUCCAUUACGCCGACCCUGGCUGCAGAGGGCCUGCCACAGGCACCACUCACACCACAAGCAGACUGGUACAGUUUCGGGAAUUUCUGUGGACUGGUUGUCCAGCUGGGGGUAACUUGAAACCAGCCCCGGUGGAGUAUUCACACCACGCGCAUGUGCAAAACACGCACCCCAGGCUUCCCCUCACUAGGUCCGGCUGCUAAACACUGCGCCAGCGCACCAUAGGUGCAGGACUCAGAGCGGCCUGGGAGAGGCCGGCCCUCCAAGGGCGGGAGGGCAGGUGGGGUCUGGGCCCCGGGUGGGAAGGCUGGCAGCAGGAUGUACCCUGCCUGUGUCAGUCACUGCUCCCCCAAGAGGACUUGGGAGCUAAGCAGGGAGGUGGCCUGGCCUCCAGUCCUGCUGCAUCCCCAAGCCUCAGCCCCUCGCAGCUUGUGAGGACGUUAGGCAGACAAGCGAGCGUUCAGGGUCUCUAGUGUGAAAACAAGACAUCGUAUUUGUUAGUACAAAGGGUGACUGUGGUCAAGAAUAAUUGUACAUUUUAAAACAACUCCAAGAGUAUAACUGGAUUGUUUGUAACACGAAGGACAAAAUGCCUGAGCUGAUGGAUACCC